AACGAACGCUGGCGGCGUGUUUAAGACAUGCAAGUCGCACGGGAUAAGACAUGUAGUAAUACUUGUUUUAUUUAGUGGCGCACGGGUGAGUAACACGUGAAUUACAUGCCCUAUAGUGGGGAAUAGCCCAGGGAAACUUGGAUUAAUACCCCAUGGUAUCGAAAGAUUAAAGGUGGCCGCAAGGCUGUCGCUAUAGGAUUGGUUCGCGCCCUAUCAGCUUGUUGGUGAGGUAACGGCUCACCAAGGCAAUGACGGGUACCUGGUCUGAGAGGACGAUCAGGCACACUGGAAAUGAGACACGGUCCAGACACCUACGGGUGGCAGCAGUCGAGAAUAAUUCACAAUGGGGGCAACCCUGAUGGUGCAACGCCGCGUGGAGGAUGACGGUCUUCGGAUUGUACACUCCUGUCAUCUGGGAGAAAGACCUGACGGUAAAUAGCCGGCAGGGUUGAUAGUACCAGAAGAGGAAGGGACGGCUAACUUCGUGCCAGCCGCCGCAGUAA
rnacentral:rRNA from 1 species